GACGAACGCUGGCGGCGUGCUUAACACAUGCAAGUCGAACGGAAAGGCCCUGCUUUUGUGGGGUGCUCGAGUGGCGAACGGGUGAGUAACACGUGAGUAACCUGCCCUUGACUUUGGGAUAACUUCAGGAAACUGGGGCUAAUACCGGAUAGGAUCUCCUGCUGCAUGGUGGGGGUUGGAAAGUUUCGGCGGUUGGGGAUGGACUCGCGGCUUAUCAGCUUGUUGGUUGGGUAGUGGCUUACCAAGGCUUUGACGGGUAGCCGGCAUGAGAGGGUGACCGGGCACAUUGGGACUGAGAUACGGCCCAGACUCCUACGGGAGGCAGCAGUGGGGAAUAUUGCACAAUGGGCGGAAGCCUGAUGCAGCAACGCCGCGUGCGGGAUGACGGCCUUCGGGUUGUGAACCGCUUUCGCCUGUGACGAAGCGUGAGUGACGGUAAUGGGUAAAGAAGCACCGGCUAACUACGUG
rnacentral:rRNA from 1 species